GACUUUGUAGCUCAGUGGAUUAGAGCGCUUCCCUGCGGAGGAAGAGGCCGUGCGUUCGAGUCGCACCAGAGUCACCA
rnacentral:tRNA from 1 species